rnacentral:lncRNA from 1 species
GAGUCUCACUCUGUUGCCCAGGCUGAAGUGCAGUGGUGCGAUCUCAGCUCACUGCAAGCUCUGCCUUCCGGGUUGACACCAUUCUCCUGCCUAGUCUCCUGAGUAGCUGGGACUACAGGUGCCCCUCACCACACACGACUAAUUUUUUGUAUUUUUAGUAGAGAUGAGGUUUCACCAUGUUAGCCAGGAUGGUCUCGAUCUCCUGACCUCGUGAUUCGCCUGCCUCGGCCUCCCAAAGUGCUGGGAUUACAGGCCAAAACCCCCAAUUUUUAUAUCCAAGCAAAGUCAACAAAUCCCAGAAAAAAAAUCCAAGUAAAACCAUACCAAGGCCAUAGGCCAUAUUGUGAUUUAAGAAACUGGCAGGACAGGGCUUUCAAUUGACUUUCUAUGAUUUCUAAUUUUUACUAUUUAUAAUGAUGGAAAAUAGGUUAUUCUUGAGAGUUUUUAUCUUGGAGAAAGUCUCACAUAUCAGGCAUAGAUGACUAAGGGUUAUUAAAGGCAGAUGACUUUCUAGCCUUGUUUUAGAGUUUUAAUUUCUUACUUUGGAAAUAAAUUUGUUUCUUACAAAUCUUAUAGUAAAAAUGAUUCUCCAGAAAGAUGUGCCCAGGAUAUUCUCUCCUGCUGCAUCCUCCCUGCAGAGAAUUAAAGCUGUGUGUACUUCAAUUUCGGAAAUGUACAGUAUGAAUUACUUAGAGUUAAUUUGAAAAACUAAAAGAAAAACAUGGGAUGAAUUAAGAUAUUUAAGAAUUAAGAUAUUACUGUGAUGUUCCUUCAGCAAAUUACUAAAAGUGGUUCCAGAGUGAUAUUUAAAAAUGAUUAUUAAAAGAGUUUCUAAGGGAGCCCUAUUCAGGGCAAAAAGACAUUGUACAUUACCUCAGUACACAAAUAUUCCUAAUGUUUUGUGAAGGACCAAGGGUCCUGUUUUGUCCUAUUGGCCCGUAUUAACACUAAGACACCUGAUUCCUGGGAACCAACCUGUGUGGGAGUCACAAAAGUGGUGGAUGUGGCUCCCAAAAUGGCUUAUUUUGGACUCCGAAAAUAAGAGAGGGGUCCCUUCUCUGUGAGGCUGAGUUUCCUGACUGUACGAAGGAGUCAGGCCUUUCCCCUGUGACGUUUUCUCCUCUUUAUUACAGUGGCAGGAGCAUCCCUGCGAGAGGCCUGACCCAGGUGUGUAGCCCAAGCAGCCAGCCCGGAAAUCCAAUGGGGUGUUCUUGGGGUGCAGAGGAUUUGUGACAGUCCAUACACAGAAAAAGGAAAAGGUGGCUUUGAAGAGGCAAGUGCAAAGAUACCAGAGAUGGGGUAUUGUCAUUUUAGGCAGUGAAUUGACGGUUUCACUUACCAGGGAGCUCCCAUCGUGAGCUCCCAAAAGGCCUAACAACUGCUAGGCCCACGGGUCAUUAGCUCCACCUUUACGGAGAAGCUGCACUAUGCAUGUCAGAAGCGGGGUAGGCAGGGAUGAGGGAAAGGACGGGAUAAGGAAAGAAAAGAUGUGCGCUGAGCUGAGCUGCGGGAGGGUAAACCUAACUACGUAACAAUGAGCAGGCUGUGAGAGGCUCCUUGCCCCUUGCAGAUUUGUGAAAAAUCAAACUUCCGCCCAAGAAGCCGGCAUUUCAGGUAGGGGCGAUGAUGUCACAAUCACAGGUUGAGAUCUGCUGCCCAGGCCAUGCUUGCUCCCCGCAGGCAGGCGAGAUUUCGGAACAGCCAGGACCUCCUCCGCAUGGGGGAACCGCUCUAGACGCUCAGAGGGGCGGAGUUGAAACGGACCUGACUGGCCAGUGUCUCAAAGACGUGGAUGGUGACCAGCUCUCUCCAGAACAGAUGGCGCUCCAGCUUUGUGGGAGAAACUUUCAAGACAGAGUCUUGCUCGUGUUGCCCAGGCUGGAGUGCA